GCAGCGCGCCCGCGCCGGACCGGAAAGCCGGGGAAGUGGCCGAGGAGGGAGGGUUGCGAGCCAUGGCGGCCAAGACGGCGGGCGUGGGGCGCUGGGAGGUAGUGAAGAAGGGUCGGCGGCCUGGGGCCGGCGCCGGCGGCCGAGGCGGCGGCGGGAACCGCCGGGCGCUCGGGGAAGCAAACGGAGUGUGGAAAUACGACCUGACCCCUGCAAUCCAGACCACAAGCACCCUUUAUGAGCGGGGCUUUGAGAAUAUCAUGAAGCGGCAGAAUAAGGAGCAGGUCCCACCCCCUACUGUGGAGCCUAAGAAACCAGGGAACAAGAAGCAGCCAAAGAAGGUGGCAACUCCUCCCAACCAAAACCAGAAGCAGGGCCGCUUCCGCAGCCUGGAGGAAGCACUGAAAGCUCUGGAUGUGGCAGACCUGCAGAAGGAACUGGACAAGAGCCAGAGUGUGUUCUCUGGAAACCCAUCCAUAUGGUUGAAGGACCUGGCCAGCUAUCUCAACUACAAGCUACAAGCUCCUCUAAGUGAACCCACGCUGAGCCAGCAUACUCAUGAUUAUCCCUACAGCCUGGUGAGCCGGGAGCUGCGUGGGAUCAUCCGAGGGCUGCUGGCGAAGGCAGCAGGGUCUCUGGAGCUCUUUUUUGACCACUGUCUGUUCACCAUGCUGCAAGAGCUGGAUAAGACAACAGGGGAGUCACUACAUGGUUACCGCAUCUGUAUCCAGGCCAUCCUGCAAGACAAGCCCAAGAUUGCCACCACAAACCUAGGCAAGUUCCUGGAACUGCUGAGGUCCCACCAGAGCCGACCAGCAAAGUGUCUGACCAUCAUGUGGGCCCUGGGUCAAGCGGGUUUUGCCAACCUCACCGAGGGACUGAAAGUGUGGCUGGGGAUCAUGCUGCCUGUGCUGGGCAUCAAGUCUCUGUCUCCCUUUGCCAUCACAUACCUGGAUCGGCUGCUCCUGAUGCAUCCCAACCUUACCAAGGGCUUCGGCAUGAUUGGCCCCAAGGACUUCUUCCCACUUCUGGACUUUGCCUAUAUGCCGAACAACUCCCUGACACCCAGCCUGCAGGAGCAGCUGUGUCAGCUCUACCCCCGACUGAAGGUGCUGGCAUUUGGAGCAAAGCCGGAUUCCACCCUGCAUACCUACUUCCCUUCUUUCCUGUCCAGAGCCACCCCUAGCUGUCCCGCUGAGAUGAAGAAAGAGCUCCCUGUUGACAGCUGCCUGCCCUGCUCACUCGAGCUUCACCCUGAGAAGAUGGAUCCCAAGAGACAGCACAUUCAGCUCCUGAGCAGCCUGACUGAGUGCCUGACGGUGGACCCCCUCAGCGCCAGCGUCUGGAGGCAGUUGUACCCUAAGCACCUGUCACAGUCCAGCCUUCUGCUGAAGCACUUGCUCAGCUCCUGGGAGCAGAUUCCCAAGAAGGUACAGAAGUCUUUGCAAGAAACCAUUCAGUCCCUCAAGCUUACCAACCAGGAGCUGCUGAGGAAGGGCAGCGGUAACAACCAGGAUGUUGUCACCUGUGACAUGGCCUGCAAGGGCCUGUUGCAGCAGGUUCAGGGUCCUCAGCUGCCCUGGACGCGGCUCCUCCUGUUGCUGCUGGUCUUCACUGUAGGCUUCCUGUGCCAUGACCUCUGGUCACACAGCUCCUUCCAGGCCUCCCUUACUGGCCGGUUGCUUCGAUCAUCUGGCUUCUUACCUGCUAGCCAACAAGCGUGUGCCAAGCUCUACUCCUACAGUCUGCAAGGCUACAGCUGGCUGGAGGAGACACUGCCAGUCUGGGGCUCCCACCUGCUCACUGUGGUGCGGCCCAGCUUGCAGCUGGCCUGGGCUCACACCAAUGCCACAGUCAGCUUCCUUUCUGCCCACUGUGCCUCUUACCUUGCCUGGUUUGGUGACAGCCUCACCAGCCUCUCUCAGAGGCUACAGAUCCAGCUCCCUGAUUCCGUGAAUCAGCUACUCCGCUAUCUGAGAGAGCUGCCCUUGCUUUUCCACCAGAAUGUGCUGCUGCCAUUGUGGCACCUCUUGCUUGAGGCCCUGGCCUGGGCCCAGGAGCACUGCCAUGAGGCAUGCAGAGGUGAGGUGACCUGGGACUGUAUGAAGACACAGCUCAGUGAGGCUGUCCACUGGACCUGGCUUUGCCUGCAGGACAUUACAGUGGCUUUCUUGGACUGGGCACUUGCCCUGAUAUCCCAGCAGUAGGCCCUGCCUCCCUGGCCACCGAUUUCUGCGUGGGUAGACCAUCCAAGACUGCAGCGGGUAGAAGGUGAAAGUUCUUCAUGGGAGUCUUUUUAACUUGGUGCCUGAGUUCUCUCCUAGGGUCUUACACUGUCACCCAGGCUGGAGUGCGGUGGUGCGAUCUCGGCUCACUGCAACCUCUGCCUCCUGGUUUCAAGCGAUUCUCCUGCCUCAACCUCCCAAGUAGCUGAGAGUACAGAAACUUCGGAUUUAAAGCUCAGCCCGAGAGAACCCUAUCAAAUGUUGGAGCUGCAAGGGGAUAGAAAGCAUCACCAGACCUGGAUUCGCGGGCGAUGUUGGCUCAAGGUAGCACAGGACGUUGGCCCAGAGCUGGAAAUUGAGGCCAGGUCUCCCAGCACACCCACCCCGCAGGACGACCAAGCAGGGCUUCACAGAGGAGUUGGGGGUUAGGUUUAUUUCUGUUGUUAAAAACCCGGUGAGCAAAAGGUUGUGGAAAAAACACAUGCAAAAGACAGGCGAAGGUGUGAGCUGGAUAGGGACAAAGAUGGGGGAACCCGUGGGGUCACUCCUUGACCCCACCCAGGACACCUAGACAUCCACAGUGCCGUGGGAGGGGCCCCAGACUAGGCAGAAGACCCUUCCCCGGCCCUGGGGAACCCAAGAUUUCCGAGAGUAAGCGGACCUGUGCAAAGACCUACAAGAAAGACCAGUGGCCUGUGCUGGGCACUGUACGACCGCCCCCACCCCGACCUCACGUGGGCCUCGGACGCUGCAGGGACCCACUGGGCCGCGCGCCCCCCACCAUCCCAGGUCUACCGCAGGGGAAUCCUCCAGGCUUGCGAGCGCUUCUGAGGGUAGGAAAGCCUGUACUGCAGCCCCGCCGCCCUCUCCUGGCGCGUAGUCCCCUCCCCGAGCCCUCGAUCCAGGGCGCCAGGCCCGCGAUCCCAGGGCGGCCCAGGGGGUUCGGCACAGCCCAAUCCCGCGCCGCGCCAAAGCCUGCAGCGCCCCGCGGUCGCCGUCUCUCUUGCACUGGUGAGGACGAAUACAGCCUGACAAAACCUGAGUUAAUUGGCCGAGCGAAUGUCCUUCGCGUCAGGAGAGCACGUCCGGAGAAGCCAAGGGAAAUAUGGAGCAGGAACAGCCAAAGUGGCCCAUCGGCUCUCGAGCAGGGUUUGCGCGUCGCGGUCGCAAAGCCCCUGUGAGUGCGGGUACCGCGGCACAAGCGCUGCCCGGGAGCUCCAGGAGGCGGCGGCGGGCUCGGCGUCGCGGUCCAAGAGAAACCACUGCGGGGCGUUGGGAGCAUUUUGUUAAAAAGCCGGGAAGCUCAGGGCCGGUGUGGCCUUCGUUCUAGCCUGAGAACCCGGACUUUGGGCAGCUUCCUUUCCUUGCCUUUGGGUCUCCGGCUUCCUCAGCUCUGUGAGGUCCCAAGGAGCUCCUUCCUUCCCCGGCAGGUUCCUUCAGCUGGAGAAAGCGGGGAUAUGGCUGGAUGAGGUUGCGGUAAGCGUUAGAGGGCUGUCAGCAGCACCUCACUGCAGCGGAGCCUUCGAUAGCUCAGUUGGUAGAGCGGAGGACUGUAGUAGAUGAAGCGUGGCAAUCCUUAGGUCGCUGGUUCGAUUCCGGCUCGAAGGACUUCGUGUAUUAUUUUCAGCCUCAAUUUAAUUCAAUUAUCCCACAAGGAGAAAGGCUUGGAGGCCUCCUGUGACUUAGCAUGCUUACUGCCGUCAGUCCAUAGGGCACACAGUAGUAUGCAGUAUACGGUAACCCUCUUUCUGCGUUCAAUGUAGAUGUGGUAACGUGUUUUAGAAUAAGGUUUUCUGCCUAAGCACACGAUUAUAUGCUUGAUUUUUAGAAUCUUGCACAUGGAUGCCACUGUAUUGUACUCUGCUAAAUAAAUAUCCAGAACUGCGAUUGA